rnacentral:tRNA from 1 species
GCGGACGUGGCGUAACUGGUAGCGUGAGAGCCUUCCAAGCUCUGGGAGGGAGUUCAAGUCUCCCCGUCCGCU